rnacentral:rRNA from 1 species
UACGAAGGGGGGCUAGCGUUGCUCGGAAUCACUGGGCGUAAAGGGUGCGUAGGCGGGUCUUUAAGUCAGGGGUGAAAUCCCGGAGCUCAACUCCGGAACUGCCUCUGAUACAGCACGUCUUGAGUUCGAGAGAGGUGGGUGGAAUUCCUAGUGUAGAGGUGAAAUUCGUAGAUAUUAGGAAGAACACCGGUGGCGAAGGCGGCCCACUGGCUCGAGUACUGACGCUGAGGUCGCGAAAGCGUGGGGAGCAAACAGG